GCAUAGUACCGUGAGGGAAUGGUGAAAAGUACCCCGGGAGGGGAGUGAAAUAGUACCUGAAACCGGGUGCCUACAAGCCGUCAGAGCCCUUUUGUGGGGUGAUGGCGUGCCUUUUGAAGAAUGAGCCUGCGAGUUAGUGGUGCGUGGCGAGGUUAACCCGUGUGGGGAAGCCGUAGCGAAAGCGAGUCUUAAAUGGGCGUUUUUUAGUCGCGUGCUCUAGACCCGAAGCGGGGUGAUCUACCCAUGGCCAGGUUGAAGCGAUGGUAAGACGUCGUGGAGGACCGAACCCACCUAGGUUGAAAACUGGGGGGAUGAGCUGUGGGUAGGGGUGAAAGGCCAAUCAAACUCCGUGAUAGCUGGUUCUCCCCGAAAUGCAUUUAGGUGCAGCGUCGCGUGUUUCUUGCCGGAGGUAGAGCUACUGGUUGGUCAAUGGGCCCUCACAGGUUACUGAGAUCUGCCAAACUCCGAAUGCCGGUAAGUUAGAACGCGGCAGUGAGACUGCGGGGGAUAAGCUCCGUAGUCGAGAGGGAAACAGCCCAGACCAUCGGUUAAGGCCCCUAAGCGUGUGCUAAGUGGGAAAGGAUGUGGAGUUGCUCAGACAACCAGGAGGUUGGCUUAGAAGCAGCCACCCUUGAAAGAGUGCGUAAUAGCUCACUGGUCAAGUGAUUCCGCGCCGACAAUGUAGCGGGGCUCAAGUACACCGCCGAAACCGUGGCAUUACAACGUUUAUCCAAGCCUUUGUGGUUCAGGAGUUGUGAUGGGUAGGGGAGCGUCCCAUGUUGAGUGAAGCUCUGGUGUGAACCUAGGGUGGACGGCAUGGGAGUGAGAAUGCAGGCAUGAGUAGCGAAUGACAAGUGAAAAACUUGUCCGCUGAUUGACUAAGGGUUCCAGGGUUAAGCUAAUCUGCCCUGGGUUAGUCGGGACCUAAGGCGAGGCCGACAGGCGUAGUCGAUGGAUAACAAGUUUAUAUUCUUGUACCGGCGCUAGACCGUCCAUGCUGAAUCAGAUCUACUAACCUCCACUUAAUGGGUUUUUUACUUUCUUCGGAUUGUUUCUUACUCUUUUUGUGUUGGGACCUGGUUUGUUAGUAGGCAAGCGUAUUAACAGGGGUGACGCACAGUGGUAGCCUCCGCGUACUGAUGGAAUAGUACGUUUAAGACCGCAGCCCGUUUCCUAGGCAAAUCCGGGGAACGUGAGGGUGAGGGUUGAUGAUGACACCGUAUGGUGGAAGUGGGUGAUCCUGUGGUGCCAAGAAAAACCUCGACGCGAGGGAUAGUGCCGCCCGUACCCCAAACCGACACAGGUAGUCAGGUAGAGUAUACCGAGGCGAUCGAGAGAAUCAUGGUUAAGGAACUCGGCAAAAUGCCCCCGUAACUUAGGGAGAAGGGGGACCACCCUGGUUGGACUUGUCCUGCUGGUGGUGGUCGCAGAGAAUUGAGAGAAGCGACUGUUUACUAAAAACACAGGUGCGUGCGAAGACGUAAGUCGAUGUAUACGCACUGACGCCUGCCCGGUGCUGGAAGGUUAAGAGGAACGGUCAAUCACACUUGUGUGGUGAAGCUGUGAAUUUAAGCCCCAGUAAACGGCGGUGGUAACUAUAACCAUCCUAAGGUAGCGAAAUUCCUUGUCGGGUAAGUUCCGACCUGCACGAAUGGCGUAACGACUUCUCUGCUGUCUCGACCAUGAACUCGGCGAAAUUGCAAUACGAGUAAAGAUGCUCGUUACGCGCAGCAGGACGGAAAGACCCCGGGACCUUUACUAUAGCUUGGUAUUGGUGCUCGCUUGGACUUGUGUAGGAUAGGUGGGAGACUAUGAACCAGCCACGCCAGUGGUUGGGGAGUCAUCGUUGAAAUACCACUCUGGUUCAAGUGCGCAUCUCAACCUCGGUCCGUAAUCCGGAUCAGGGACAGUGCCUGGUGGGUAGUUUAACUGGGGCGGUUGCCUCCUAAAAUGUAACGGAGGCGCUCAAAGGUUCCCUCAGCCUGGUUGGUAAUCAGGUGGCGAGUGUAAGUGCACAAGGGAGCUUGACUGCGAGACUGACAGGUCGAGCAGGUGCGAAAGCAGGAACUAGUGAUCCGGCAAUGGCUUGUGGAAGCGUUGUCGCUCAACGGAUAAAAGGUACCCCGGGGAUAACAGGCUGAUCUUGCCCAAGAGUCCAUAUCGACGGCAUGGUUUGGCACCUCGAUGUCGGCUCGUCGCAUCCUGGGGCUGGAGUAGGUCCCAAGGGUUGGGCUGUUCGCCCAUUAAAGCGGUACGCGAGCUGGGUUUAGAACGUCGUGAGACAGUUCGGUCCCUAUCCGCUGCGCGCGCAUGAAACUUGAGAAGACCUGUCCCUAGUACGAGAGGACCGGGACGGACGAACCUCUGGUGUGCCAGUUGUACUGCCAAGUGCAUCGCUGGUUAGCUACGUUCGGAAAGGAUAACCGCUGAAAGCAUCUAAGCGGGAAGCCUGCUUCAAGAUGAGGUUUCUUUUGAGGCUCCCAGCAGACUACUGGGUAGAUAGGCCGGACGUGGAAGCACCGCAAGGUGUUCAGACAAGCCGACCGGUACUAAUCAGCCGACAACUAACAAAA
rnacentral:rRNA from 1 species